UGCAUUUUCCUCUUCAAACCGCCAAACGGCAAUGCGAGCUCCGUCGUACAACCACCACGUCACGGCGUUUCUCCUCCUCCUCCUUCUUCUACCGCUCUUCCAUGGCCAUGGCGUCGGAGGAGACUGGAGCGGCGACUAUUCCAAGCUCUCGGGAAUCAUAAUCCCUGGCUUGGCCUCCACGCAGCUUCGCGCUUGGUCGAUCCUCGACUGCCCUUACUCUCCUCUCGAUUUCAACCCUCUCGAUUUGGUCUGGCUCGACACCACCAAACUUCUCUCUGCUGUGAACUGUUGGCUCAAAUGCAUGCUUCUGGACCCGUACAACCAAACAGAUCACCCUGAGUGCAAGUCACGGCCCGAUAGCGGUCUUUCGGCGAUCACGGAACUCGAUCCUGGCUACAUUACUGGUCCUCUCUCUUCGGUAUGGAAAGAAUGGGUGAAAUGGUGUAUCGAAUUCGGUAUUGAGGCGAAUGCUAUCAUUGCUGUGCCAUAUGACUGGAGGCUGUCACCGUCUAUGCUUGAGGAGCGAGACCUUUACUUUCACAAGCUAAAAUUGACAUUUGAAACGGCACUAAAACUUCGUGGAGGCCCCUCAGUAGUGUUUGCCCAUUCACUGGGUAAUCAUGUCUUCCGCUACUUUCUGGAGUGGUUGAAGCUGGAAAUUGCACCUAAACAUUAUAUCCAAUGGCUGGAUGAACACAUUCAUGCCUAUUUUGCCGUUGGAGCUCCACUUCUUGGUGCAAUCGAGACAGUCAAAGGAACACUUUCUGGAUUAACAUUUGGCCUUCCUAUUUCCGAGGGGACAGCUCGGUUGAUGGUCAAUUCAUUUGCAUCUUCGUUAUGGAUGAUGCCAUUUUCGAAGUACUGUAGGGCAGAGAAUACAUACUGGAAACAUUUCUGUGGGGGAAACAUGGACAAGAGGGGUCAUAACAUGUAUCACUGUGAUGAGCGGGAAUUUCAGUUAAACUUUUCUGGAUGGCCAACAAAUAUUAUCAAUAUUGAAAUUCCUUCAAUCCGUGGAUUUGGAGCCUAUCCAUCAGCUACUGAAAUAGCUGAGGCUAACUUGUCUAGCAUAGAAUGUGGACUCCCUACCCAAUUGUCUUUCUCUGCUCGCGAAAUAUCAGAUGGGACCUUUUUCAAAGCAAUAGAGGAUUAUGACCCGGACAUCAAGAGGAUUUUGCACCAAUUAAAGACGUUAUAUCAUGAUGAUCCAGUUUUAAAUCCACUUACACCAUGGGACAGGCCACCUCUGAAAAAUAUAUUUUGUAUCUAUGGAACAGACUUGAAAACUGAGGUUGGUUACUAUUUUGCACCGAGUGGCAAGCCCUACCCUGAUAAUUGGAUCAUUACCGAUGUGAUUUAUGAGAUUGAAGGUUCCUUGUUCUCAAGGUCAGGAAAUCUUGUUGAAGGAAAUCCAGGAGCUUCAAGCGGGGAUGAGACUGUACCGUACCAUUCUCUUUCUUGGUGCAAGAACUGGCUUGGACCAAAAGUCAACAUAACUAGGGCUCCUCAGUCAGAGCAUGAUGGUUCUGAUGUACAAGUGGAAUUGAAUGUGGAACAUCAUCAUGAAGAAGAUAUUUUGCCCAACAUGACAAGGUUGCCAAGGGUCAAGUACAUAACUUACUAUGAAGAUUCUGAAAGUAUACCAGGAAAAAGGACAGCAGUCUGGGAGAUAGAUAAAGCGAAUCAUAGGAACAUUGUUAGAUCCCCAGUUCUAAUGAGAGAGUUGUGGCUUCAAAUUUGGCAUGAUAUCCAUCCCGAUGCAACAUCAAAAUUUGUUACUAAAGCCAAGCGUGGACCUCUGAGGGAUGAGGACUGUUAUUGGGAUUAUGGAAAAGCUCGAUGUGCAUGGGCUGAAUACUGUGAAUACAGAUACCUUUUCGGAGAUGUUCAUUUAGGACAGAGCUGUAGGUUGAAGAAUUCUUCAGCAAAUCUUCUUUCGCAUUAUUUGUAGAUUAGGAGGUAUUCCUUUCUUCUCCAUCUCGUACUGAAAGCUUAAUACUACUGCACUUGUUGGGCUUCACCUUACAUAGCCUUGUGAUUUUGUGGAAACAAUGGGAUCACACAAGAAAGUGAUACUGAGACAUGUCCCUUGCCAAUAUUUGAGAUAGUUGGAGGCACAGACCAUUAACAUACAAGUGGUCUCACUUUUGUCUCCUGUAAAACUUUAGCAGUUAAGCAAUUCCCUUUUGUAUCAAGCAGAAUCGGGACAGCAUCUCGGAUCUUCAGAAUGCUUGAUGAUUUUAUUGAUGGUAGAAAUCUAACUUGGUGCGUCAGCCUUGUCGUCACUCGAUUUUGCCACUGGAAGACACGCUUCUAGCCCUGAUUAGCCUUCCCAAACUCUGUCAAGCUGUAGCUUAUUAUUUUCUUGUAGCUUUUCGACGCACCACCAAAGUAUUUCGCAUAUGCAUUGUUAACAUGGCCUGCUAUCAGAUUCUUGCCAAUAAGUGUAUUU